rnacentral:rRNA from 1 species
CAGUAGCCACGGUAAUACAGAGGGUGCGAGCGUUAAUCGGAUUUACUGGGCGUAAAGCGUGCGUAGGCGGCUUUUUAAGUCGGAUGUGAAAUCCCUGAGCUUAACUUAGGAAUUGCAUUCGAUACUGGGAAGCUAGAGUAUGGGAGAGGAUGGUAGAAUUCCAGGUGUAGCGGUGAAAUGCGUAGAGAUCUGGAGGAAUACCGAUGGCGAAGGCAGCCAUCUGGCCUAAUACUGACGCUGAGGUACGAAAGCAUGGGGAGCAAACAGGAUUAGAGACCCCUGUAGUCCCUGUCUCUUAUAC